CAUUUCAUAGGAAAACCACAGGAAAACUAACAUCCAGUCAAACCUCUUUUUUUCUUUUCCCUUUGCAUGGGAUCGAGGCAAAUGAGCUUAGCUGUUGCUUAAAAGUUUCCAUUCUAUUAGUUUAUCUAAUGCUAUUGGUGAUUAUACACUUCAUAAGAUUUCCAUUCCUGUGAAUUUCCUAUGCUCAUCCAAACACCUACAUUAGGAAAAAUUCCUAUAUUUUCU
rnacentral:lncRNA from 1 species